AGAGUUUGAUCCUGGCUCAGAAUGAACGCUGGCGGCGUGGAUUAGGCAUGCAAGUCGAACGCGAAAGCUUCCCUUCGGGGGAGCGAGUAGAGUGGCGAACGGGUGAGUAACAGGUGGGUAAUGUGCCCCGAAGCGGGGGAUAACCCGAGGAAACUCGGGCUAAUACCGCAUGAGACCUCUUCGACCCUGGUCUUUGAGGUUAAAGGAGUUAUUCGCUUCGGGAGUGGCCCGCCCAUGAUUAGCUUGUUGGUAGGGUAACGGCCUACCAAGGCAACGAUCAUUAGCUGGUCUGAGAGGAUGAUCAGCCACAUUGGGACUGAGACACUGCCCAAACUCCUACGGGGGGCUGCAGUCUAGAAGCUUCGUCAAUGGGCGAAAGCCUGAACGAGCGACGCCGCGUGUGGGAUUGAAGGCUUUACGGUCGUAAACCACUGUCGGGAGGGAAGAAAACCCGUAUGGUGAAUACGGGCUUGACGGUACCUUCAAAGGAAGCCCCGGCUAACUCCGUGCCAGCAGCCGCGGUAAUACGGAGGGGGCAAGCGUUAUUCGGAUUUACUGGGCGUAAAGGGUGCGUAGGCGGCUUUGUAAGUCUGGUGUGAAAUCUUCACCGCUCAACGGGAAGUGGUCACUGGAAACUGCAGAGCUUGAGUGUGGCAGAGGCAAGCGGAAUUCCUGGUGUAGCGGUGGAAUGUGUAGAUAUCAGGAAGAACACCCGUGGCGAAGGCGGCUUGCUGGGCCAUCACUGACGCUGAGGCACGAAAGCGUGGGGAGCAAACAGGAUUAGAUACCCUGGUAGUCCACGCUGUAAACGGUGCGCACUAGGUGUAGGGGGUAUCGACCCCCCCUGUGCCGACGCAAACGCAUUAAGUGCGCCGCCUGGGGAGUACGACCGCAAGGUUGAAACUCAAAGGAAUUGACGGGGGCCCGCACAAGCGGUGGAGGAUGUUGUUUAAUUCGAAGCAACGCGAAGAACCUUACCAGGGCUUGAACUGUGGCAUACAUGGGGUGAAAGCCCCGGGCCUUUCGGGGCGUGCCAUAGAGGUGCUGCAUGGCUGUCGUCAGCUCGUGUCGUGAGAUGUUGGGUUAAGUCCCGCAACGAGCGCAACCCUUGUCGUUAGUUACCAGCGUGUUAUGGCGGGGACUCUAACGAGACCGCCGGCGAUAAGCCGGAGGAAGGUGGGGACGACGUCAAGUCAUCAUGGCCCUUACGUCCUGGGCUACAAACGUCCUACAAUGGCCGAGACAACGGGUCGCAAAGUCGCGAGGCUGAGCUAAUCUCUUAGACUCGGUCCCAGUUCGGAUUGCAGUCUGCAACUCGACUGCAUGAAGUCGGAAUCGCUAGUAAUCGCGGAUCAGCAUGCCGUGGUGAAUACGUUCCCGGGCCUUGUACACACCGCCCGUCACACCACGAAAGUCGGUUGUUCCAGAAGUCACUGUUGUAACCCCUCGGGGAGCUAGGUGCCGAAGGAAUGGCUGGUAAUUGGGGUGAAGUCGUAACAAGGUA
rnacentral:rRNA from 1 species